UUCGCAUAUGUUAUGCGUUUGCGCGUGCUAUGAAACCUAAUAAUAAAAUUGAAGAAAGACAAUGAAGCUCGUUGAAACGGUUGGCAAACAUCGGCAUGCCUUCAUUGAUAGAAUGGAAUCAAUCGCAUUAUUCGAAAGUGAUAGAACCUCUCCUCUCUUUGUGCGCGUAUCUUGAGAAAUUAAAAAGAAAUUGAUUCUUUUCUAAAAUGUGUACAGAUUAGAUUACCUCGAGUGCAAAACCUAAUUCAUCGAUCUUCUGUUACACAUAAAUGAAAAAUCUCUGUUUUUUAAUUAAUUUCUCAAGCUUUCCAGCUUCUUUAGAUUUACUUCGAAAGUAUCAGCAGCAAGAGUAGACUACACGUACACGCUAGAAAUUGAAAACAAGAGUGGGCGAAUCUCAGUUACUCAAUAAAUCGAGCAACGACCGAUUUCGUUAUGUUAUCUAGGUUUGUUUUGGAAAGAAGAACCAGUUCCUCCACUUUUUCACGAUUAAUACAGCUUACUGCAAUAACGUAAGCUUGCAUCGAGAGAAGAUAUGGCUUGGUUCACCUUUGUCCUCGUAUAAAUUCAAAUUGAAACGUUAAAAGAAACGUAAAAGUAAAAAUGCACAGAAUGCGCGUAAUAUGCAGGCAUACAUACGACAGAAGCAAAGUACAGUAUCCGUUAUGAUAUUUAGUAGGUGAAACAAAUCUUUGCGUCUUUAGUCCUUUAGUAUCCUUUAAUCUUUAGUUCUGUUCAUAGAAAUAUCAAUUUGCAUAAACAUCUAUCCAGGUCUAAAUAUAACUUAUUCUUAUACGUAUAUUCUAAUAUGAUCUAUUUUUAAUCAAGAAUUUUUAAGGCACUUCAAAAUUAUUACUUGCGAGUUGAUACCAAGUGGAAACUAACGUUUGCAGAAAAUAUGCUGUUAACGUGCAGCAACUUAUCUGACAGGUGCAUAAGUUAUUGUUAAUGAUCGGACGUAUACGGUGCAUCAGCGUAGAAUGUUUCGCACGCCGUUCCGCAAACAAACUGAUUUAGACGGUGUACGUGAGCGUCGUGCGAGAUGGAAACGGGCCACAGCGAAAUUAGCAUGAGAAAACGUUCUGAAGCGGGAUUGAAAUGUACGGUCCGACGAGUGUAAGUCAAUGUGACGAGGAGAAUCAGCGGUUGUCGAGAAACGAGAUGUCAUGUGUAUGCAGCAUCUUUCUAUCAAGGUGAUACGUUCUGCACAUGUACAUUUUCGAAAUGCAGAAUGUGUAAGAAAAAGGAAAAGCGUAACUGAAUAUAGUAUGACCAAGAUUAAUGAUAGACACGAUAUUUCUGCUUAACUUUAAAUGGAAAUGUUCAGUUGACGUCACUAUGUAGUCCUUGCAUUGUUGGUCUUUAUUAUAUUUAAAUUAUCCUACCAUUUCUUCUUAGAAUGGAUUAAAAUAAAAAAGAGAAUUAAGAAUGGACGAAUUCCUUCGCUUUAUAGAGCGCUAUCGUGCAGAUGAUCGUAUUUUCGAAUAAUUAGUGAAAAAAGCGAAGGAUUUUAUUAAAUGUAUAAGUAACGAUCCCACUUUUAUUUUUUAACUUCAACUUAAUAUCGAUGUUGUAUUUUUCCCUCUGUUACAUUAAUCUGUACGCGUGUACGUUAAUUUCUCCAUGAUCCUUUGAAUAUUUACGUAUAACGUUUUUACUUUUCAAAGCGCCCGUGAUUUAUAUUGGAUCAUUAUCAUUAAAAACUGGUUGAAAGUGUAUACAUAAUUUGUAUGAAUAAUUUUUUUAUGAAUAACUCAAAACAUGAUACCUAGGCAAAGAAUUCUUUUAUUCGCCAAAUAUUAUACUAAGUAGGUAUUAUACAUUCUGCGGAUUUCAGGAACUUCCAAAUUUCUAUGAAUACACAAACAUUCACGAUCCAUAUAAAAUAUUCUAAAAAUUUCCAUAUAUUUUUUGUUUAGAUUAAAAUAACAGAGACGUAGAGAUCCUAAUCUUCUGCAUAGUAAAGCAGAGUAAACGUAUGACUGCGAGUAUUUUAGAAACCUGUUUUAUUUUAAUUUUUCUCCAACUAUCAACAGAUAUCCUAGCAUGUUUCACGCUGGCCAAUAACGAUAAGCGAUAUACGGUCGAUAUACUAUUUAAUUUUUUAGCAAUAAAAUGCUUUCCGAUAAUGUAGCAUUAGCAACAAUACGUCCAGUCUAGAGUGUUAGCAAUUACAAAAUCAAUUACGAUUUAUGAUGCAAUUCUCUCGACUCAUUAUCACAACCGGUUACGUUACACCAGACAUGUCCGGGACGAACAAUCGAGAUCUAAUCAAAGUUCAAUAAUUGGAGGCGGUUCGACGAUUUCUUCGCGGAAGGAAGCCCCCAUGGCGAGGGUGGACAAUACACAAGUCUCGUUCCAGGUGGCUCGUUAUCGCUGGUAGCAGUGUGUCAAGUAUCACAUAAGUUAGCCUCAACGCGUGACACUCGUGUAAUACUUAGUAAAGGCAAAAUUAUGAAAGAACCUCGGGAUUCGAUAAGAAGGAAGGGAGAGAAAGGGACGAGGAAGAACAGAUUCGUUCGAUGAUGUGCGGUGAAAGAUCCAUUGACACGACGACCCGCUUCUUUAAAUUUGCGAAUCAAGCCGGAUGCAUC